rnacentral:rRNA from 1 species
AUUGAACGCUGGCGGCAUGCUUUACACAUGCAAGUCGAACGGCAGCGCGGGCUUCGGCCUGGCGGCGAGUGGCGAACGGGUGAGUAAUGCAUCGGAACGUGCCCAGUAGUGGGGGAUAGCCCGGCGAAAGCCGGAUUAAUACCGCAUACGACCUGAGGGUGAAAGCGGGGGACCGAAAGGCCUCGCGCUAUUGGAGCGGCCGAUGUCGGAUUAGCUAGUUGGUGGGGUAAAGGCUUACCAAGGCGACGAUCCGUAGCUGGUCUGAGAGGACGACCAGCCACACUGGGACUGAGACACGGCCCAGACUCCUACGGGAGGAAGCAGUGGGGAAUUUUGGACAAUGGGGGCAACCCUGAUCCAGCCAUGCCGCGUGAGGGAAGAAGGCCUUCGGGUUGUAAACCGCUUUUGUUCGGGAAGAAAUCCUCUGGGCUAAUACCCCGGGGGGAUGACGGUACCGGAAGAAUAAGCACCGGCUAACUACGUG